AUUGAACGCUGGCGGCAGGCCUAAUACAUGCAAGUCGAACGGUAGCACAGAGAGCUUGCUCUCGGGUGACGAGUGGCGGACGGGUGAGUAACGUCUGGGAAACUGCCCGAUGGAGGGGGAUAACUACUGGAAACGGUAGCUAAUACCGCAUAACGUCGCAAGACCAAAGUGGGGGACCUUCGGGCCUCACACCAUCGGAUGUGCCCAGAUGGGAUUAGCUAGUAGGUGGGGUAAUGGCUCACCUAGGCGACGAUCCCUAGCUGGUCUGAGAGGAUGACCAGCCACACUGGAACUGAGACACGGUCCAGACUCCUACGGGAGGCAGCAGUGGGGAAUAUUGCACAAUGGGCGCAAGCCUGAUGCAGCCAUGCCGCGUGUAUGAAGAAGGCCUUCGGGUUGUAAAGUACUUUCAGCGGGGAGGAAGGCGGUGAAGUUAAUAACUUCACCAAUUGACGUUACCCGCAGAAGAAGCACCGGCUAACUCCGUGCCAGCCGCCGCGGUAA
rnacentral:rRNA from 1 species